CUCCAAAUGUAUCCCUUCGACUCGAGGUGUGAAGUCGGUGACAGGAUUCUACGGAAACCACGAAUACAUUCCUCAAACGUAUUUCCAACAGUACUCGAAACAGGUUUCGAGUCGCGCUUACUUCAACACGAGGGGAAAGGAAAAAAAGAAUUAACAACCAGCCGUCGUCGUCAAAGGAUCCAUUCUCCUCGGUCGAAAACCCGGGAUUCGUAGUGAAAUUCCGGACCACGAGGUCCCCAAUUCCAGUUCCCCGCUGGAAGUUUGGGUUACUUUAAGAAAAGUGGCAAACACGAGACAGAACUUUCCCCCAAUUUCCACGGCUAAAGGACUUCCCGGUGAACUCCGGGACUCCGGAGUUGUUCCCCAAUUGAAGCGAAAUUCCUCGUCUAAUUUUAAUAAGACGAAAAAACGCGGACGACGGUCUUCCCUCGGCGUGGGAAAAAGGAGGAUCGUCCUUGCAUUAAGUCGAAUAUCGGUGUCGAUCGAUACCCGGGCACGGGUUGAGAAUUAAAGAGCCGCGCUAUUGUGAGAGAACAUCGGAAGUAAAUUCUCGCGAGUGAUGGGGUAGGGGGCCUCGAGGAGAAUUGAUGAGGAUCGAUGUCGAGGAGCCGACGCGGACGGGGGACGAGGAACGUGAGCGUCGUCUUCUUGUUCAGCGAAAUCGGAGGAUCCAUGACUCCCGAGCACAAAGCGACGCAAAACGGCACUAGCCUCCAAUUACAAGCAAAACCAUUGCAAAACAAGGGAAAUAUAAUGACAUUACCGGAAACUAAAUAAUUCCCCGUGGAAGAAAUUUCUUUGUAAAGUACCAGAUGACUUACUUGGUUAAAAAUUGCGAGUAAGCUCUAAACUAAAAUUUAUGUGUACAGUUUUAUUGCCGUAGCUCUUAACGCGUUAUAUCAGGCACAUUA